rnacentral:rRNA from 1 species
CCUACGGUGGCUGCAGUGGGGAAUAUUGGACAAUGGGUGAAAGCCUGAUCCAGCCAUGCCGCGUGUGUGAAGAAGGCCUUCGGGUUGUAAAGCACUUUCAGUGGGGAAGAAAGCCUUGGGGCUAAUACCCUCGAGGAAGGACAUCACCCACAGAAGAAGCACCGGCUAACUCCGUGCCAGCAGCCGCGGUAAUACGGAGGGUGCGAGCGUUAAUCGGAAUUACUGGGCGUAAAGCGCGCGUAGGCGGUCUGAUAAGCCGGUUGUGAAAGCCCCGGGCUCAACCUGGGAACGGCAUCCGGGACUGUCAGGCUAGAGUGCAGGAGAGGAAGGUAGAAUUCCCGGUGUAGCGGUGAAAUGCGUAGAGAUCGGGAGGAAUACCAGUGGCGAAGGCGGCCUUCUGGACUGGCACUGACGCUGAGGUGCGAAAGCGUGGGUAGCAAACAGGAUUAGAUACCCGGGUAGUC